UGCCCCAUGGCUGAGUUGGUUACAGCGUCCGACUGUUAUCCCGCAUUGGGAAAGCUCAUCGGAAGGUCGUGAGUUCGAGCCUCACUGGGGCAG